UACGGGGGGGGCUAGUGUUACUCAUCAUUACUGGGUGUAAAGCGUACGUAGGCGGUUUAUUAAGUUUGAAUUAUGACAAUCCAAGCAUAACUUGGAAAAUUUUUUUUUAUACUGGUAAUCUAGAGGUUUAAGGAGGAAAGCUAUAUUUCUGAAGUUUAGGGAUGAAAUCCUUAGAGAUCAGGGGAAUAACCAGCAGGCGAAGGCGGCUUUCCAUAAAAAUUCUGACGCUGAAGUUCUUAAGCGUGGGUCGCAAACGGG
rnacentral:rRNA from 1 species